GUUAAGUUAAUAAGGGCGCACGGUGGAUGCCUUGGCACUAGAAGCCGAUGAAGGACGUUACUAACGACGAUAUGCUUUGGGUAGCUGUAAGUAAGCGUUGAUCCAGAGAUUUCCGAAUGGGGGAACCCAGCAUGAGUUAUGUCAUGUUAUCGACAUGUGAAUUCAUAGCAUGUCAGAAGGCAGACCCGGAGAACUGAAACAUCUUAGUACCCGGAGGAAGAGAAAGAAAAAUCGAUUCCCUGAGUAGCGGCGAGCGAAACGGGAAGAGCCCAAACCAACAAGCUUGCUUGUUGGGGUUGUAGGACACUCUAUACGGAGUUACAAAAGAACAUGUUAGACGAAUCAUCUGGAAAGAUGAAUCAAAGAAGGUAAUAAUCCUGUAGUCGAAAACAUAUUCUCUCUUGAGUGGAUCCUGAGUACGACGGAGCACGUGAAAUUCCGUCGGAAUCUGGGAGGACCAUCUCCUAAGGCUAAAUACUCUCUAGUGACCGAUAGUGAACCAGUACCGUGAGGGAAAGGUGAAAAGCACCCCGGGAGGGGAGUGAAAUAGAACCUGAAACCGUGUGCCUACAACAAGUUCGAGCCCGUUAAUGGGUGAGAGCGUGCCUUUUGUAGAAUGAACCGGCGAGUUACGAUAUGAUGCGAGGUUAAGUUGAAGAGACGGAGCCGCAGGGAAACCGAGUCUGAAUAGGGCGCAUUAGUAUCAUGUCGUAGACCCGAAACCAUGUGACCUACCCAUGAGCAGGUUGAAGGUGCGGUAAGACGCACUGGAGGACCGAACCAGGGCACGUUAAAAAGUGCUUGGAUGACUUGUGGGUAGCGGAGAAAUUCCAAACGAACUUGGAGAUAGCUGGUUCUCUCCGAAAUAGCUUUAGGGCUAGCGUCGACAUAAAGAUUCUUGGAGGUAGAGCACUGUUUGGGUGAGGGGUCCAUCCCGGAUUACCAAUCUCAGAUAAACUCCGAAUGCCAAUGAAUUAUGGUCGGCAGUCAGACUGCGAGUGCUAAGAUCCGUAGUCGAAAGGGAAACAGCCCAGACCACCAGCUAAGGUCCCAAAAUAAUUGUUAAGUGGAAAAGGAUGUGGGGUUGCACAGACAACUAGGAUGUUAGCUUAGAAGCAGCUAUUCAUUCAAAGAGUGCGUAAUAGCUCACUAGUCGAGUGACACUGCGCCGAAAAUGUACCGGGGCUAAAACAAUUUACCGAAGCUGUGGAUACCUUUAUAGGUAUGGUAGGAGAGCGUUCUAUGUGUGAUGAAGGUAUACCGUGAGGAGUGCUGGAACGCAUAGAAGUGAGAAUGCCGGUAUGAGUAGCGAAAGACAGGUGAGAAUCCUGUCCACCGUAAGACUAAGGUUUCCAGGGGAAGGCUCGUCCGCCCUGGGUUAGUCGGGACCUAAGGAGAGACCGAAAGGUGUAUCCGAUGGACAACAGGUUGAUAUUCCUGUACUAGAGUAUGUAGUGAUGGAGGGACGCAGUAGGCUAACUAAAGCAGACGAAUGGAAGAGUCUGUCUAAGCAGUGAGGUGUGAAUUGAGUCAAAUGCUUAAUUCUAUAACAUUGAGCUGUGAUGGGGAGCGAAGUUUAGUAGCGAAGUUAGUGACGUCACACUGCCAAGAAAAGCUUCUAGCGUUUAAACAUACUCUACCCGUACCGCAAACCGACACAGGUAGUCGAGGCGAGUAGCCUCAGGUGAGCGAGAGAACUCUCGUUAAGGAACUCGGCAAAAUGACCCCGUAACUUCGGGAGAAGGGGUGCUCUUUAGGGUUCACGCCCAGAAGAGCCGCAGUGAAUAGGCCCAAGCGACUGUUUAUCAAAAACACAGGUCUCUGCUAAACCGUAAGGUGAUGUAUAGGGGCUGACGCCUGCCCGGUGCUGGAAGGUUAAGAGGAUUGGUUAGCCCUUUUUUGGGCGAAGCUGAGAAUUUAAGCCCCAGUAAACGGCGGUGGUAACUAUAACCAUCCUAAGGUAGCGAAAUUCCUUGUCGGGUAAGUUCCG
rnacentral:rRNA from 1 species